rnacentral:rRNA from 1 species
AGAAUCAACGCUGGCGGCGUGCCUCAGACAUGCAAGUCGAACGCGAAAGUCCCCUUCGGGGGACAAGUAGAGUGGCGCACGGGUGAGCAACACGUAGGUAAUCUACCUUCGGAUGGGGAAUAACAAUCGGAAACGGUUGCUAAUACCGCAUAAUGCAGCGGCACCUAAUGGUGACAGUUGUUAAAGCGGGGGAUCGAAAGACCUCGCGUCUGAAGAGGAGCCUGCGGCGGAUUAGCUAGUUGGUAAGGUAAUGGCUUACCAAGGCGACGA